rnacentral:pre_miRNA from 1 species
CUGCUACUCCCUCCGUUCGGAAUUACUUGUCGCAGAAAUGGAUGUAUCUAGACAUAUUUUAGUUCUAGAUACAUCCAUUUCCGAGACAAGUAAUUCCGAACGGAGGGAGUAGUAU